CGUAGGAAUCUGCCCGGUAGUGGGGGAUAGCCCGGAGAAAUCCGAUUAAUACCGCAUACGCCCUAAGGGGGAAAGCAGGGGAUCUUCGGACCUUGCGCUAUCGGAUGAGCCUGCGUCGGAUUAGCUUGUUGGUGGGGUAAUGGCCUACCAAGGCAACGAUCCGUAGCUGGUCUGAGAGGAUGAUCAGCCACACCGGAACUGAGACACGGUCCGGACUCCUACGGGAGGCAGCAGUGGGGAAUAUUGCACAAUGGGCGCAAGUGAUGCAGCCAUGCCGCGUGUGUGAAGAAGGCCUUCGGGUUGUAAAGCACUUUCAGCAGGGAGGAAAGGUUGUAAAUUAAUACUUUGCAGCUGUGACGUUACCUGCAGAAGAAGCACCGGCUAACUCCGUGCCAGCAGCCGCGGUAAUACGGAGGGUGCAAGCGUUAAUCGGAAUUACUGGGCGUAAAGCGCGCGUAGGGGCUUGUUAAGCCAGAUGUGAAAGCCCCGGGCUUAACCUGGGAACUGCAUUUGGAACUGGCAGGCUAGAGUACAGAAGAGGGUGGUAGAAUUUCCUGUGUAGCGGUGAAAUGCGUAGAUAUAGGAAGGAAUACCAGUGGCGAAGGGGCCACCUGGUCUGAUACUGACGCUGAGGUGCGAAAGGUGGGGAGCAAACAGGAUUAGAUACCCUGGUAGUCCACGCCGUAAACGAUGUCGACUAGCCGUUGGGACCCUUGAGGUCUUAGUGGCGCAGUAACGCGUUAAGUCGACCGCCUGGGGAGUACGGUC
rnacentral:rRNA from 1 species